rnacentral:rRNA from 1 species
AGUCGACGUGAAGUCCUUCGGGACGAGUAAAGUGGCGCACGGGUGAGUAACGCGUGGAUAAUCUACCCUUAAGAUGGGGAUAACGGCUGGAAACGGUCGCUAAUACCGAAUACGCUCCCGAUUUUAUCGUUGGGGGGAAAGAUGGCCUCUGCCUGCAAGCUAUCGCUUAAGGAUGAGUCCGCGUCCCAUUAGCUAGUUGGCGGGGUAACGGCCCACCAAGGCAACGAUGGGUAGCCGGUCUGAGAGGAUGACCGGCCACACUGGAACUGGAACACGGUCCAGACUCCUACGGGAGGCAGCAGUGGGGAAUAUUGCGCAAUGGGCGAAAGCCUGACGCAGCGACGCCGCGUGAGGGAUGAAGGUUCUCGGAUCGUAAACCUCUGUCAGGGGGGAAGAAACCCCCUCGUGUGAAUAAUGCGAGGGCUUGACGGUACCCCCCAAAGGAAGCACCGGCUAACUCCGUGCCAGCAGCCGCGGUAAUACGGAGGGUGCAAGCGUUAAUCGGAAUCACUGGGCGUAAAGCGCACGUAGGCGGCCUGGUAAGUCAGGGGUGAAAUCCCACAGCCCAACUGUGGAACUGCCUUUGAUACUGCCAGGCUUGAGUACCGGAGAGGGUGGCGGAAUUCCAGGUGUAGGAGUGAAAUCCGUAGAUAUCUGGAGGAACACCGGUGGCGAAGGCGGCCACCUGGACGGUAACUGACGCUGAGGUGCGAAAGCGUGGGUAGCAAACAGGAUUAGAUACCCUGGUAGUCCACGCUGUAAACGAUGGGUGCUGGGUGCUGGGAUGUAUGUCUCGGUGCC